UACGAAGGGGGCUAGCGUUGUUCGGAAUCACUGGGCGUAAAGGGCGCGUAGGCGGCCGAUUAAGUCGGGGGUGAAAGCCUGUGGCUCAACCACAGAAUUGCCUUCGAUACUGAUUGGCUUGAGACCGGAAGAGGUAAGUGGAACUGCGAGUGUAGAGGUGAAAUUCGUAGAUAUUCGCAAGAACACCAGUGGCGAAGGCGGCUCACUGGCCCGAUACUGACGCUGAGGUGCGAAAGCGUGGGGAGCAAACAGG
rnacentral:rRNA from 1 species